UACAGAGGGGGCUAGCGUUGUUCGGAAUUACUGGGCGUAAAGGGCGCGUAGGCGGCCCUCUAAGUCGAACGUGAAAUCCCCGGGCUCAACACGGGAACUGCGUCCGAUACUGGAGGGCUCGAAUCCGGGAGAGGGAUGUGGAAUUCCAGGUGUAGCGGUGAAAUGCGUAGAUAUCUGGAGGAACACCGGUGGCGAAGGCGGCAUCCUGGACCGGUAUUGACGCUGAGGCGCGAAAGCCAGGGGAGCAAACGGG
rnacentral:rRNA from 1 species